GGUUGAAGACACUAGGAAUGUUUAGCCCUAAAGGAGAGAAGACUUUGGCAUGAUUUAAGAGCUCCCUUCAAGUAUCCGAUGGGCUAGGAUGAAGGAUUAUACUUAUUUUGUUUGGCCACAGAAGGCAAGAUCCAAAAUAAUGGGUGGAAAUUGUAGAGAGGUAGAUUUCAGCUUGUUAAAAAUAAAAACUCCCAAACAAUAGAGCUCUCCAAAAAUGGAAUGGGCUGCCUUGAAAGGUAGUCAGUCCCCCCACACAGGAGGUCUUCAAGCAAAUGCUGGAUGAACAUAUUCCAGGGACUCUUUACCAAGUACAGGUUGGAUCAGAAUGAUGUUUGAGGCCAUUCCAGCUAGGAGAUUGGGAAUUUUUUUUUUUAUUCUGCCGAUAUAUAAACAUCAGCCUAAUAUCUCAGAGAUUCCUGAGGCUUUUUUUGUUUUGUUUUUAAAGAAGCAAAUGAUCUGAUCUGGAGAUAUUUAGCUUCCCAAACGCAUCAAAGUGGUGGGGAAGUGGGAACACACCAAUGUUUGCCUGCCACUGUGGGAGUGCCCAAAGAAACUGCCCUAGCCAGAGGGAAAACAUCAAGCAAGACCUGGGUCUGCUUUCAGCCAUCCUCUUGGAACCCAUCCUUGCCCUCUACUAAUGACGAAUAUGACCUCCUUUGUUCAGAAAAGAAAAAAAAAACCCACAAAGCCUAGAUACCCAGAAGAGCUGAUGAUCAGAAGACAUGGAAAAUAACGAUACCCAAGUCCAAGCACCAGAGUCAAAGGGAGCCCAAAAGUUAUCCUUUGACUGACUCCUUUGCUUUUCAAGUUGCCUUAUCUCCUCCUAAUGCCUUUGGAAUGUUCAGCAGUUGCCAGUUCAGUUAACAAGGGCCAGUGACCUGGAACCUUCAUGGGCAGCUGCCCAAACCCAUAUUGAGUCUGUCCUAUGAUGCCAUGUGCCAAAAUCAUUACAACAGGAAUCCCAGCACUAUAUCCAUAUAUACCAUGGGAAGCUGAAACCCUGAAAGGGGCUGUCUGUGGAGCCUAAAUACUCCUGCUAUGGCCACCAAAUAAAAUUUCUCCAGAGGCAAAAGGCUCUUAACUG
rnacentral:lncRNA from 1 species